rnacentral:tRNA from 1 species
CAAAAUAUAGCUUAACUAAAGCAUCUCGCUUACACCGAGAAAAUACCUGUUAAACCCAGAUUAUUUUGAGC